GACGUAGGAGGCGAGCGUUGUCCGGAUUCAUUGGGCGUAAAGAGCACGCAGGCGGUUUGGCAAGUCGGAUGUGAAAACCCGAACCUCAACUUCGGGCCUGCAUCCGAAACUGCCCGACUAGAGGUAGGUAGGGGAGAUCGGAAUUCCAGGUGUAGCGGUGAAAUGCGUAGAUAUCUGGAGGAACACCGGUGGCGAAGGCGGCAUUCUGGACCGAUAUUGACGCUGAGGAGCGAAAGCCAGGGGAGCAAACGGG
rnacentral:rRNA from 1 species